rnacentral:ncRNA from 1 species
UAGCAUGGGAUAACAUCAUAGGAUUCCGGUCCUAUUGUGUUGGCCUUCGGGAUCGGAGUAAUGAUUAAUAGGGACAGUCGGGGGCAUUCGUAUUUCAUAGUCAGAGGUGAAAUUCUUGGAUUUAUGAAAGACGAGUGACUGCGAAAGCAUUUGCCAAGGAUGUUUUCAUUAAUCAAGAACGAAAGUUGGGGGCUCGAAGACGAUCAGAUACCGUCCUAGUCUCAACCAUAAACGAUGCCGACCAGGGA